GCUCGAGUGGCGAACGGGUGAGUAACACGUGAGCAACCUGCCCUUGACUUUGGGAUAACUUCAGGAAACUGGGGCUAAUACCGGAUAGGAGUUCCUGCUGCAUGGUGGGGGUUGGAAAGUUUCGGCGGUUGGGGAUGGACUCGCGGCUUAUCAGCUUGUUGGUGGGGUAGUGGCUUACCAAGGCUUUGACGGGUAGCCGGCCUGAGAGGGUGACCGGCCACAUUGGGACUGAGAUACGGCCCAG
rnacentral:rRNA from 1 species